UACGUAGGGUGCAAGCGUUGUCCGGAAUUAUUGGGCGUAAAGAGCUCGUAGGCGGUCUGUCGCGUCUGCUGGUGAAAACUCAGGGCUUAACCCUGAGCUUGCAGUGGGUACGGGCAGACUAGAGUGCGGUAGGGGAGACUGGAAUUCCUGGUGUAGCGGUGAAAUGCGCAGAUAUCAGGAGGAACACCGAUGGCGAAGGCAGGUCUCUGGGCCGAUACUGACGCUGGAGGAGCGAAAGCGUGGGGAGCGAACAGG
rnacentral:rRNA from 1 species